rnacentral:rRNA from 1 species
AGAGCGAACGCUGGCGGCGUGCUUAACACAUGCAAGUCGAACGAGGUCUGUAGCAAUACAGAUACUCGUGGCGAACGGGUGCGUAACACGUGGAUAACCUUCCUUCAGGUGGGGAAUAACCCAGUGAAAAUUGGGCUAAUACCGCAUAACAUGACGAUGCCACAUGGUGUUGUCUUCAAAGGCGCAAGUCGCCAGAAGAGGGAUCCGCGGCCGAUUAGCUAGUUGGCGAGGUAAUGGCUCACCAAGGCAAUGAUCGGUAGCCGGACUGAGAGGUUGGCCGGCCACACUGGAACUGAGACACGGUCCAGACUCCUACGGGAGGCAGCAGUGGGGAAUCUUGCACAAUGGACGAAAGUCUGAUGCAGCAACGCCGCGUGGGGAUGAAGCUUUUCGGAGUGUAAACCCCUUUCGACCCGGAAGAAAGCCCGCAACGGGUUUGACGGUACGGGUAUAAGAAGCCCCGGCUAACUACGUGCCAGCAGCCGCGGU